AACGAACGCUGGCGGCAUGCCUAACACAUGCAAGUCGAACGAGACCUUCGGGUCUAGUUGCGCACGGGUGCGUAACGCGUGGGAACCUGCCCUUAGGUUCGGAAUAACUCCCCGAAAGGGGUGCUAAUACCGGAUAAUGUCUUCGGACCAAAGAUUUAUCGCCUUUGGAUGGGCCCGCGUUGGAUUAGCUAGUUGGUAGGGUAAAAGCCUACCAAGGCGACGAUCCAUAGCUGGUCUGAGAAGAUGAUCAGCCACACUGGGACUGAGACACGGCCCAGACUCGUACGGGAGGCAGCAGUGGGGAAUAUUGGACAAUGGGCGAAAGCCUAAUCCAGCAAUGCCGCGUGAGUGAUGAAGGCCUUAGGGUUGUAAAGCUCUUUUACCCGGGAUGAUAAUGACAGUACCGGGAGAAUAAGCUCCGGCUAACUCCGUG
rnacentral:rRNA from 1 species